rnacentral:tRNA from 1 species
CAGAAAAUAGUUUAAUUUUAAAAUAUUAAUUUUGGAGAUUAGUGAUAAAGGGUUCUUUUUUUCUGA